UACGAAGGGGGCUAGCGUUGCUCGGAAUGACUGGGCGUAAAGGGCGCGUAGGCGGCCGAUCAAGUCGGGGGUGAAAGCCUGUGGCUCAACCACAGAAUUGCCUUCGAUACUGUUUGGCUAGAGACCGGAAGAGGUUAGUGGAACUGCGAGUGUAGAGGUGAAAUUCGUAGAUAUUCGCAAGAACACCAGUGGCGAAGGCGGCUAACUGGUCCGGUUCUGACGCUGAGGCGCGAAAGCGUGGGGAGCAAACAGG
rnacentral:rRNA from 1 species